rnacentral:misc_RNA from 1 species
GCACGAAGAGACCACAUACACACAUAUACACAUCUACGGGCAAAAGGGAACACAGAUACACACACGAACCCCCCCAAAAAAAAAACGCAUUUUUCAAGUCGGUCAGCCAUCAAGGCCUUUUCCUUUUUUUGUCUCGGGUUGGUGUGACGUUUCAAGUCUGCCGGCCUCCCUCGUUCUGCCUUGCCCUCUGUCUCUUCUGAUCUGCUGCGCAUCCAUCGACCACUUCUUCGCCCAUCCCUUUUCCCCGCCACCACCAGUGCGGUUGUUUUGCGCUUUCAUUCUUGUCCUCUUUUCUCCUGGUCGCAUCUGGAGGUAGCACAGCACGAGGUAAACAUUUGUUGACGGUCGAAGUACACGCUCAGGGGCUGGCAUACCUUUAUACUCGGACAAGUGCACGCAGCAGCGGACAUACGAUCGUGCAUCCAUUCACGAACUCUCAUAUGUAAGUGCUCCGUCAUAGUGCGCAGUGGACAACAGCACGAUUGCCACCGGAACGUGAAUAGAUAUUUGUAUACCCUCAAGAGCAUGGAAUCUCUCUCCGGUGCCGCCGCAGCCGUUACGGCUACAUCCCUCGCCCUUUCCGGAACCUUGAUGACUUUGACAGCGCUUGUGCUGUUCAUCGCAGCGCACCGCAACGACAACUAUUCGUGGGUGGACCGGUCGUGGUCUAUUCUACCGGUGGUGUACACGUGGAUCCACGUAUACUACACGCACCAGCAGGCACGCGGGGCUGCGGUGAGGCGCGCUGCGGGGCAGUCGUUCCCGCUGAGCACCGCAACCCUCUUCGGCCUUGUCAUAACGGUGUGGGGGUGCCGCCUGACCUUCAACUUCUUCCGCCGCGGCGGCUACUCCCGUGGCGGCGAGGACUACCGGUGGAAUUACGUACACACGUGGCGCAUCUUCUCCCGCUCGCCUGUCGUCUGGACGCUCUUCAACUUCUUCGUCAUUUCCUUCUUUCAAACGUGGCUGCUGUGGGCCAUCACUCUGCCUGUCAUGCAGUUUCCAGCGACGCCAGCAACGGCGAAGGAGGCCACAUUUGCAGUUCUGCUGGUGGCUCUCAUUGCUUUUGAGACGAUCUGCGACGAGCAGCAGUGGCGCUUUCAGUGCGCAAAGGUCCGAACGCCGCAUCAGGCCCCUUACUGUUACGGGUUUUGUGUCACAGGUGUCUUCGGCUACAGCAGACACCUAAACGUCUUCUGUGAGGCGUCUCUGUGGGUGAUGUUGGCGGUGGCGGCGCGCAGCUGUGGAGCAACGUCGAUGGCGUGGUGGCAGUGGUCUGGGUGCACCCUGCUGGGGCUGCUCAUCCUCUUUUCGACAGCAAUGAUCACGGAGCAACUUACUGCUAAAAAGUACCCUGGCUACGCCGUGUACCAGUCCAUCACGCCCAUGCUCUUCCCUUCCCUCUAUUCGACGUCGGGGAAGGUGCUGCUUGCGCUCAAGAAGAUGGGGUAGCACCGGCGUCAUUUUCCGUUUCCUCGAGGUUAUAUCUUUUCUCCCUUUCACUGCCGCUGACGCUGGGGCCUUUGCUGCUACACUGGUAACGGUCAAGCGGCCCCUGAUGACGCCCACCACCUCGCCGGUGGUAUCUCACGGCCCAGCACCCACUGUGUGGGAAAGCCAAAGACCCUGCAGCCUGCCCUCGGGUACCGCUGGCGGGCUCCUCGGUAUCGGCGGACAGGUAUGGGCUAUCGCUGUGCCGAGGAGGCUUGCCGUCGUGAUGAUCACCUUUGCAGCAGCGCACUACGAAUCGUGCCGACGAUCCGACACAUGUCGGAGGACGAGAUCCAUACCUAUCACCCGCCCCCACACACACAGGCGCACCGAAAAAAAAAAGAACGUGCAUGCUCGGGAAACAUGCGGCAUCUCCUGCAUGCGACCGUGUGGGCCGAUGCGGCGCAGAUGCGGGAAGCGCGAUGAGAGCACCCUCGAGUUGCACCACCGAGUCCUCCAGACUCCCAUGUAAAGUGGCACCACACUGUAUGACGGCAUGCCGCGGCUUGAAGCGGCCGAGGGCGAAACACGGCGCACAGGCAGGGCAGAGGGUCGCAGAGGGCCCUGACCUGCGGCUGGCCCACUUCCUCUCUGAGCUCCUCCUCCAUUCACUUAUAUCCGCCCCCUAGUGCCCGCACGACAGACGCCACUGCCUCCGCCCUCGAGCAGAGCCCUGGACGCGGCCCGGGUGGAUCAAGGCAUGCAGUCCCGCCAGGUCCGCCUGGCGCCGAUCGCGCAACACGCACCCGGGGAAGGGACGAGGAAGAAGAGGAAGAGCCGGUUAGACGCGCGGCCCGAUCCGACGGCAGGCCGCUCGUCCUGGACGACCAGGCCUUAGCCGUGGCGCAACAGUCGCAGGCGAGCUGUGGCUGUGUGCGUGUAGGCUUGCUGACUUGUUCGUGGAAGUGGAAUGGGCAAGCCAAAGAAAGCCGAGAAAGCGCUGCUCACUUACGUGCAGAGCACACCCGCUUCAAGGUAUGUGGAGAGGGUGUGUCGCACAUGCUUCGCCGUCUUCGUGAGGUAUGAGUGUUAAGUACCUCGCCAUGGCACCCGAAUG